rnacentral:tRNA from 1 species
GGAGAGAUGCCCGAGAGGCCGAAGGGCGCCGCUUGGAAAGCGGAUGGGCGGCCACGCCACGGGAGUUCAAAUCUCCCUCUCUCCGCCA